AUAUAACAGAUUCUUGACUGAUUUUUGCCGCGAAAGCGAAAAAAUGUUCUCAAAUUUGAGAACUGUCCUAAAUUGGUUCUGAGAGAUGGAAGCCGUUUUACAUGGCCUACGUCGUUUUACUUUGCACCACCUCGUUUUAUUUCACACCAUGUAUUCUUGACGGGACGCUCUUUCGGCAGAUAUAUUUUUAGUGAAGUUUCGUAGAGGAGACGUAUAUCGAAAAUGUUGUGAACGAAGCUGAAAAUGGCAUUUUUAUGCACCUAAUUUCAAGCCGAAUUAUCGCCAGAGCACGCAGCGUUUUCGGCCAGCACGAAGGCGGCAACAUAUAGAGGGUUGCUGCACUGUAUAUUUGUAAUCAUCGCUGACUGGCUGUUGGCAGAGUAUUUGAUGUGUGCACGUGUAUGGAUCCGUCCCUUCCUCAUGUUAACGUCUCAAUCAAGCAUCGUCAUCAAAACUUUGCACAGAAGAGUGUUUGUCAGCGGUGUCAGUCAUCCUCUGGGAUCCUCUUUCUGUUAUUACUGAAGCUCAAUUCCCAAUACAUGAACUGCUUUCCACAAUGCGCAACAUGCAACACCUGCGAUGAGCUGCAAUCGCGACAGACGAUUCACAAUCUGUUUUGUUUCUGCGGCAUCUAAGUGCAGUGCGUAGUACCCUCACGUGCACCCAGCCUAGUGAACUGUACAACGCGCUUGGCAAGAGUUAUGCUUUUGCCAACUUCUUGGACAGUGGCCCUACAACUGCUUGCGACAGUGCGCGACAGGCAUUUCCUCGCCGCAAGUAUUACUUCGCAGAAAGUGAUACAUGUAAUUGUGAAUUGUAAAUACCUUUUAAUCCAAUUCAACUUUUAGUAUGUGCUUCUCUUUGUUGAACAGCAAUGGGUAACCAACUCUUCUCCUGUCCAUUCAUUCUCCUGCUCGUGUUUGUAUGGUGGUUGUAUACUGUAUACCCAUUGAAUGAUAAAUGUACUACAGUAUCAGGUUUUGUGUGGUGAUAUAUUCACGUCCAAAUAUGUUCAAUUUUCACUUGAGCACACAAGGGUUAGAAGCUUAGAAACACUAUACAUAUAUUCUUUAGGGUGUUCUCCAUUGAUAUAUUGAAAGAUCUCACCUGUUCAAGA